rnacentral:rRNA from 1 species
ACGGCUCAGUAACACGUGGAUAACCUGCCCUUGGGUCCGGCAUAACCCCGGGAAACUGGGGAUAAUUCCGGAUAACGCAUAUGUGCUGGAAUGCUUUAUGCGUAAAAUGGAUUCGUCUGCCCAAGGAUGGGUCUGCGGCCUAUCAGGUAGUAGUGGGUGUAAUGUACCUACUAGCCAACAACGGGUACGGGUUGUGAGAGCAAGAGCCCGGAGAUGGAUUCUGAGACAUGAAUCCAGGCCCUACGGGGCGCAGCAGGCGCGAAAACUUUACAAUGCGGGAAACCGUGAUAAGGGGACACCGAGUGCCAGCGUCAUACGCUGGCUGUCCAGGUGUGUAAAAUACACCUGUUAGCAAGGGCCGGGCAAGACCGGUGCCAGCCGCCGCGGUAACACCGGCGGCCCGAGUGGUGAUCGUGAUUAUUGGGUCUAAAGGGUCCGUAGCCGGUUUGGUCAGUCCUCCGGGAAAUCUGAUAGCUCAACUAUUAGGCUUUCGGGGGAUACUGCCAGACUUGGAACCGGGAGAGGUAAGAGGUACUACAGGGGUAGGAGUGAAAUCUUGUAAUCCCUGUGGGACCACCUGUGGCGAAGGCGUCUUACCAGAACGGGUUCGACGGUGAGGGACGAAAGCUGGGGGCACGAACCGGAUUAGAUACCCGAGUAGUCCUAGCAGUAAACGCUGUGGGCUAGGUGUUGCACCAUCUUCGAGAUUGUGCAGUGUCGUAGCGAAAGCAAUAAGCCCACCGCCUGGGAAGUAUGGUCGCAAGACUGAAACUUAAAAGGAAUUGGCGGGGGAG